ACGAAGUAAUCCUUAUUCACGACAAUGUUAGCCCGUACGUGGAAAAGGUUGUGAAAGUUGCUCUGCCAGAGCCUAGGUAGGAGUAGUGACUGUCCUAAUCCGUCGAGCUUAAAAUAUUUACUCGCGCUUGUUGGCUGAAGUUGUCUUGUAAUAGUGGAUAAAUGACUUAUCACCUCGAAGGAUCGGCUGAGGAGUUCCGCUGCUGGGUAAUAAUGAUUUGGCAGGGACGUUUGUUAGAAAUUGAAAGCGUGAAACUUUCUUGUUAUGACGUCGCACGUUAACGUCGGGAUUCCUAUUGCUUUCGUCGGCUGUGACGUGAAGACCUCCGUGACAAAAUUGCCAUUUCAGUAUACCUUUAUAUAUGCCUUUACCAAUUCCCAUUGCGGACUAACGCGUUUGUUUACUUUCAACUGUAAGAUAACGAAUUUCUCGAGGCAAUGAAAACAAGAAAUCAACGGGCAAGACCGAUUAAGGGGAUUACACUAAGCCAGUCGCGCUACGUAAUUUGCCUUUCUAGACGAGUAACUAUUACGUUCGCUUGUGUUUUACCCAUAGUCGGUCAAUUAAUGGUUGGUAACGUGAACAGAUACUGUAGAAAAUCAUUGAAGAAUGGCGCCAUCGUUUAACUGUAGACUGAAGGAUUGGGUUAAACUUGACCAUGUAGACGGUCAUCGGCUCAACCGGCAUUACUGUGGCGCAAAGAGGUUCCAAUGUGACAAACGACAACGGGAAAACUACACGUCGUGAAGUUUCUUAAUUUCUUGGAUAGAGCCACGUUUAACGACGUAAAGUUAGUCGCCAUACGCGUACAUACGAAGUGUCCCAAGUCGAUCGGUCAUCCGUAUAUUUUAGACCAGCUGAUAUCUUUGAGGGGGCAUGCGCCAUCGAGUGAAGUCGUCUACUUUGUAAUUCCGCACUACUCUUCCUUAACAAUGAUUGCUACUGAUGAUGAAUUGAUUGCUACUGGAGUUUAGAGGAAAGCUUUGUGUACAGCAUGCACACAUAUGCAUUCAUCUCAGACUAGCUGCCGCAGCAGCUGAAAAUGACGACCAAAACAGAUCAAGCAACAGCGUCAGGCCCUUCAACGCUGGCAGUGUGGCCCUGAUUUCAUUGUGAAAAGCAAUAAUUAUUAAGCCAACAGUGAUUUUGACGGCCCAUUGCUUUGUUUCUACAUGCCAAUGAAACGAAUCGUUCUAUUAGAAAAAAUGCAAGUAUACAUCAACACCGAUCCCUUACGAUCGUAAGAGGGGAUGGCUUUCAUCUCCAUUAUUAUUUCAAUACUAUCUCGUCGAUGUAACCAGCGGAAAUACAUAUUAAAACAGUAAAGAUAACUAGGAAAAAGGCGCGACCGGGCUAUAUAUAGGAUAGUUCUAAAGGUUUGAUAACUAAAUGGGUGGACCGAUUGAACAGAUAGCACCACCGGAACUACAGGAAAAGUUACCGGCGAAGUCGUCAUCCGUAAAGGCGAUCUCUUCAGGCAAAGUAAAUAAAAGUACCACAUCAUACUCACUAAAUGCCGUUCAACUUUUAUCACUCGGAACAUCCAUACGUAGACUGCAAGCCUGGAGGGCGUCGACAUUGACCCAUUUGCCUCUACGUUUGACAUUACUUUCAGUUAGC
rnacentral:lncRNA from 1 species